AUUGAACGCUGGCGGCAGGCCUAACACAUGCAAGUCGAGCGAGCGGCGGACGGGUGAGUAAUGUAUGGGGACUGCCCGAUAGAGGGGGAUAACUACUGGAAACGGUAGCUAAUACCGCAUACUAUCGGAUAACCCAUAUGGGAUUAGCUAGUUGGUGAGGUAAUGGCUCACCAAGGCGACGAUCCCUAGCUGGUCUGAGAGGAUGAUCAGCCACACGGGGACGGAGAAACGGCCCAGACCCCUACGGAGGCAGCAGUGGGGAAUAUUGCAAAAGGGGCGCAAGCCUGAUGCAGCCAGGCGGGGGGUAUGAAGAAGGCCCUAGGGUGGUAAAGUACUUUCAGUCGGGAGGCGUUACCGACAGAAGAAGCACCGGCUAACUCCGUGCCAGCAGCCGGGUAAUUC
rnacentral:rRNA from 1 species